rnacentral:rRNA from 1 species
GAUGAACGCUGGCGGCGUGCUUAACACAUGCAAGUCGAACGGAAAGGCCCUGCUCUUGUGGGGUUCUCGAUUGGCGAACGGGUGAGUAACACGUGUGUAACCUGCCCUUGUCUUUCGGAUAACUUCACGAAACUGGGGCUACUACCGGAUAGGAGCUCCUGCUGCAUGGUGGGGGUUGGAAAGUUUCGGCUGUUGGGGAUGGACUCGCGGCUUAUCAGCUUGUUGGUUGGGUAGUGGCUUACCAAGCCUUUGACGGGUAGCCGGCCUGAGAGGGUGGACGGCCACAAUGGGACUGAGAUACGGACCAGACUCCUACGGGAGGCAGCAGGGGGGAAUAUUACACAAUGGGCGGAAGCCUGAUGCAGCAACGCCGCGUGCGGGAAGACGGCCUUCGGGUUGUGAACCGCUUUCGCCUGUGACGAAGCGUGAGUGACGGUAAUGGGUAAAGAAGCACCGGCUAACUACGUG